UCCGGCUCAGCGCCGGCAGUCUCUCUAGAGUCCCCGACAUUACUCGCUGGCAACUAGAAACGGGGGUUGCGCUCGUUGCGGGACUUAACCCAACACCUCACGGCACGAGCUGACGACAGCCAUGCACCACCUGUCAGGGGCCCUUACGGACACCGUAUCUCUACGGCUUUUCCCCUGAUGUCAAGCCCAGGUAAGGUUCUUCGCGUUGCCUCGAAUUAAGCCACAUGCUCCGCCGCUUGUGCGGGUCCCCGUCAAUUCCUUUGAGUUUUAGCCUUGCGGCCGUACUCCCCAGGCGGGGUGCUUAAUGCGUUAGCUGCGGCACGGAAUCCGUCGAUAGGACCCCACACCUAGCACCCAUCGUUUACGGCUGGGACUAC
rnacentral:misc_RNA from 1 species